AGGCAGGAAACAGGAUUUUCAUUCCUCCUCAAUGAUCAGAGCAGCUCCGUAUGAAAACGUGAUUCUGAAUUCCAUCCUCUCUCCUCCUCUCCAACAGUGAUUUCCUUGGUUAGUGCUGCUCCUGGUGUCUUGCCAGGCUACUCCUCAUAUUACAGAGGGUGAGGAGUCAGAUUGGCUUGUGAAGAGGUUGGCACCAUUUGGCAAAAAUGCUUGAAUAGGACUCACGGCCAAGGAAUAUUUCCAGGAGCAUUUAGCCAGAAGCCCAGGCCAUUUUAUCCAUGGAAAUGCUUGGUGUUUGUGAUCUGAGAUGAUUUCUACUUCAGAACUGUGGAAGUUUCCUGGACAUUUUUCAUGAUCUCCUUUCCCCAGCAAACCUAGGAGAAGAGACUGAGGGGUAAGCUACAGACCCAGGGCCUAGACCCUUUAACUUUCACUUCUCCACUGAUUUUAUGGGUAUGGAAAUGAGGCUUUGACCUCUCAGUCUUCAAAUGGAGAAUUGGGUUUGAGUCAGGAUCAUUGACUGGAUUAAGUUCAGCUGCUUGUUUCCCUUCUUUGUUCACUCCCAACCUCGGGUCUGCAGGCACAGGGAAGGAAGUUUUCUAUUUACCUUUGCUUUUGAAUAAUGGUACAAUAUCUGAAUACAGUGCCCUUAAAAAAGAUUAAACUUGUGCUUGCUCCUCACUA